GAUGAACGCUGGCGGCGUGCCUAAUACAUGCAAGUCGAGCGAACAGAUGAGGAGCUUGCUCCUCUGACGUUAGCGGCGGACGGGUGAGUAACACGUGGAUAACCUCCCUAUAAGACUGGGAUAACUUCGGGAAACCGGAGCUAAUACCGGAUAAUAUAUUGAACCGCAUGGUUCAAUAGUGAAAGACGGUUUUGCUGUCACUUAUAGCUGGAUCCGCGCCGCAUUAGCUAGUUGGUAAGGUAACGGCUUACCAAGGCAACGAUGCGUAGCCGACCUGAGAGGGUGAUCGGCCACACUGGAACUGAGACACGGUCCAGACUCCUACGGGAGGCAGCAGUAGGGAAUCUUACGCAAUGGGCGAAAGCCUGACGGAGCAACGCCGCGUGAGUGAUGAAGGUCUUCGGAUCGUAAAACUCUGUUAUUAGGGAAGAACAAAUGUGUAAGUAACUAUGCACGUCUUGACGGUACCUAAUCAGAAAGCCACGGCUAACUACGUG
rnacentral:rRNA from 1 species